rnacentral:lncRNA from 1 species
CUGUAUCCCAAUAUCUGCAGUGUCUGGCCCACUUUGGCUCCUACCGGCAUGCUCUUAUGUUAGCCUAUGCACAAUUUCACCUUAAAAAGAAUUGCAAAUGCCUCAGAGAAUGAGAGAUUCCAUAGACAUAUAUUUUCUAGGCAAUUAAACCUCCAUGAUAAUGAGGGAGUUAAGUAUCUUUAAAAAAUACUAUGAGAAGUAUAUUGCAUGAAAAAAUAGUUUGAACUAUAAAACAGAAAUAUAUUUGUUUAUACCAUACAGCCCCCCCAAAUAAAACAUUACCAACAGGAAAAAAAAUCGUUAUAUAGAAUACUUAUUUGCUUUCCUAUUGUCUCCAUGUAACAGAUCAUGAACUCCUUGAGGGCAGGUACCAUUUUUUGUAUCUUUGUCUCUCCAUCAUCUACAAUAGUGACUGAUUAAUAAAUAUUCAAUAAAUAGAUGAAUGAAAAAAGGGACUUUGAACAUAUCCACAAUUACCCAUUUAAGAGACAGAAAUCAUCACAACUAUGCUUUUAUUUACUAUGCUUACAUACUUUUAUUUUAAUCAAGGUAAAUCAUUUAUACAUACUCCUAUUGGCUCAAAUAUAACCUUAUAAGUUAUGUUAUUCCAAAUGUGUGCAUUUAUCUGCCUUAAGGGUUUUCAGGAGCAUAAUCCUUGUGAUUGAGGUGAAGAUAGUAGAUAUACAUAAAUGCUAUCUCAGCAUUACUGUGGUUUUAAAUUGUGUAAUAUGUUCUCCUAAGUAAAUUGUAAACAACUGUUGCCAACAAAGGAUAUUACAUAAGAGAUUUCAUAAUCUUAUUUAAUAACUAUAGUGAUUUCUAAUAUUUCAAAAAGUGAUUGAAAAAUGUAAUUCUGCCUAGAAAAAUUUAGGAUCAGAUUUAGAAGUAAUUUUAAAAAUUGUUAUUAUUUUUAUAAAUUUGGAACCAUUUAAUGUGCUAAUGAUUUUCUUUUUUUUAAGACCGUGAGAUUUGCUUUGGACUGAAUGUUGCUAGCUCACCCAAAAUUCAUAAUCUGAAGCCUGAUCACCAGUGUGAUGGAAUUAUGAAGUGGGGCCAUUGAAAGAAGACCCCAUCUAUGAACCAGGAAAUGAUCCCUCACCAGACACCAAAUUUGCCAGCACUUUGGUCUUAGACUUUCAGCCUCCAGAACUAUAAAAAAUAAAUUGCUGUUUAUAUGCCACCCAGUCUAAGGUAAUUUCUUAUAGCAGCCAAAGUGAACUAAGACAAGAUUUUUCUAAAACGUUGUCUUUCAUGUUACCCUGUUCAUCACAAGAACAAUUAACCACUAAAAUCUUUGUUAAUAAAUUAUAUAAGAUCAUACAGGGCAUGUUUGUCAAUCGUACAAAAGAUAGUUUUAAUAAUUCUUGGCUGGGCACGGUGGCUCACGCUUGUAAUCCCAGCACUUUGGGAGGCCAAGGCAGGUGGAUCACGAGGUCAGGAGUUCGAGACCAGUCUGGCAAACACAGUAAAACCCCGUCUCUACUAAAAAUACAAAAAAAUUAGCUGAGCAUGAUGGUGGGUGCCUGUAAUCCCAGCUACUCAGGAGGCUGAGGCAGGAGAAUCGCUUGAACCUGGGAGAUGGAGGUUACAGUGAGCCGAGAUUGCGCUGCUGCACUCCAGCUUGGGCAACAGAGUGAGACUCUGUCUCAAAAAAAAAAAAAAAAAAAAAAAAAAAAGAGUUUUAACAAUUCUUAUAAGCUUAGGACUCAAAAAUAUACUAUUUGUUUUGAGGAAGACUCUUCUUUGUGUGAUCCGAUUGUAUUACUCCAUAUUUCUACCGGCCCAAGUACCUCUCCCCAUGGUCAGCACAGCUCAUGCUAGGUACCUCCAGGAUCACAUCAUUGAGUAUUUGGAAAAUGGGUCAUCGACUAGCAAAAACUCAUAUUAUAAAUGCGGAGCCAUAUGCAAUGGGUAUAACUUAAUGCCCCAAAUCUGUAGGCCUGAAAAAAGAAAGAAAGAAGCACAAAGUCUUUUAUAUAUCACUCUUGAACUCAACUUCUAGGUAAUCUUCUAUAGCUGAGUCUGCAACUCCUUCCCUCAGAAUAACAAAUGUGCAGCUACCAAGCACCAAAAUUUAAUAAUUCAGCAAUCUCACAUUGCUACUCUUAUAUUUCAUCCUUCAUCUUUCCACAGCCUAUAAGUAGAAAAAUAGUUGAAGAGCAUGAGGCAGAUAAACUUAAGGGCUUGAUAUGUAAGAAGGUUGUCAGCUUGCUGGUCUAAUUGUUCUGGUUCUACACUCUGCCACCUAUAAUUGAAUGUGAUUGAAUUAAUUCAGCUUAUUUAUUUGGUCAUUUAUUUCUAGAAAGAGGUAUCUAACUUUUCAUGAACAUAAUCAUUGAUGAUUUGACCAUUAAGGUCACUCUCAGGAGGAGUUAGAAGUCAGUCUCUAUCUAUAUAGUUCUAUGCAGGCUGAAAAACCAUUCACUUUCUCCUAAUCUUCUUUUCUUAGGUGC